AACGUAGGUUCCGAGCGUUAUCCGGAUUUACUGGGCGUAAAGCGUGUUCAGGCGGCUCAGCAAGUCGGGCAUGAAAUCUCUCGGCUCAACCGGGAGGGGCUGUCCGAAACUGCUGGGCUUGAGGGCAGUAGAGGGUGGUGGAAUUCCGGGUGUAGUGGUGAAAUGCGUAGAUAUCAGGAGGAACACCGGCGGUGUAGACGGCUAUCUGGACAGUAACUGACGCUGAGACACGAAAGCGUGGGGAGCAAACAGG
rnacentral:rRNA from 1 species